UUUCCGGUUGAUCCCGCCGGACCUGACUGCUAUCGGAUUGAUACUAAGCCAUGCGAGUCAUUGUAGCAAUACAAGGCAGACGGCUCAGUAACGCGUAGUCAACCUACCCUAUGGACGGGAAUAACCUCGGGAAACUGAGUAUAAUGCCCGAUAGAACACUAUACCUGGAAUGGUUUGUAUUCCAAAUGAUUUAUUGCCAUAGGAUGGGACUGCGGCCUAUCAGUUUGUUGGUGAGGUAAUGGCCCACCAAGACUAUUACAGGUACGGGCUCUGAGAGGAGUGGCCCGGAGAUGGGUACUGAGACACGGACCCAGGCCCUAUGGGGCGCAGCAGGCGAGAAAACUUUGCAAUGUGCGAAAGCACGACAAGGUUAAUCCGAGUGGUUUCUGCUAAAGGAACCUUUUGACAGUCCUAGAAACACUGUUGAAUAAGGGGUGGGCAAGUUCUGGUGUCAGCCGCCGCGGUAAAACCAGCACCUCAAGUGGUCAGGAUGAUUAUUGGGCCUAAAGCAUCCGUAGCCGGCUCUGUAAGUUUUCGGUUAAAUCUGUACGCUUAACGUACAGGCUGCUGGGAAUACUGCAGAGCUAGGGAGUGGGAGAGGUAGACGGUACUCGGGAGGAAGUGGUAAAAUGCUUUGAUCUCUCGAUGACCACCUGUGGCGAAGGCGGUCUACCAGAACACGUCCGACGGUGAGGGGUGAAAGCUGGGGGAGCAAACCGGAUUAGAUACCCGGGUAGUCCCAGCUGUAAACUAUGCAAACUCAGUGAUGCACUGGCUUAUGGCCAGUGCAGUGUUGCAGGGAAGCCGUUAAGUUUGCCGCCUGGGAAGUACGUACGCAAGUAUGAAACUUAAAGGAAUUGGCGGGGGAGCACCACAAGGGGUGAAGCCUGCGGUUCAAUUGGAGUCAACGCCGGG
rnacentral:rRNA from 1 species